UACGGAGGGAGCUAGCGUGGUUCGGAAUUACUGGGCGUAAAGCGCACGUAGGCGGCUAUUCAAGUCAGAGGUGAAAGCCCGGGGCUCAACCCCGGAACUGCCUUUGAAACUAGGUAGCUAGAAUCUUGGAGAGGUCAGUGGAAUUCCGAGUGUAGAGGUGAAAUUCGUAGAUAUUCGGAAGAACACCAGUGGCGAAGGCGACUGACUGGACAAGUAUUGACGCUGAGGUGCGAAAGCGUGGGGAGCAAACAGG
rnacentral:rRNA from 1 species